rnacentral:piRNA from 1 species
UAAGCUCAAGGUUGAUGUCUAAAAGAGGCAG